UUCUCUCAAGUAGGAGCUAGGUUGUAUUCUACUCGCUAACUGUUGGAGCCCUCCCAUCCUUCCCUUGGUGUCUCUCUUUGGGGAGUCCCUGUCACAGUCCUGAAGGAUGUUCCAGUUUGUGUAACUGGUGUUACGACAGCCUUUGAACACUUGGUUUCUUCUGAUGGGUUACAUCUACAGAACUGUGGUCUUCAGACGGCAUAUUAUCCUACCAUGCAUCUCUGGUCACCAAGACCACACCCAGAUCAGUAAGGCAACAAUCAUGCAAUGUGAAUGCAACGUUUGGAGAGUAGCAAGGAAGUGGACAAAAGGUGUAAGCAUCUCAAGUCUGUAGCUCUGUUAAGGGGAGGGGAGAUUAAUGGUUUAUUUUAGCACGUUGUUUCUCUAAGAAAUACACUUUAUACCUGUAAAUAUCUAGAUAAUUUACAAAAGUGGUCUGAGAUAAGGGAUGUCAGUUAAAGAUAUUCGGGUUAACUGUGGUUACCAAACAUGAUGGCUAUACGUUUAUUGUACAGUUCUAAGCCUUGUUUAUUGUUAGUCAAUUUGUUAGAUGGGGGGGAACUGUGUAGUUAAAAUUACUAGUUCUGCACAUAAACCAACAGCAACAAACUACUAGAUCGACUCAAGGUAAGUCUGUUGGCUGUAUUGUGAGAUGAGACGAUGGACCCCAAGUUCUUCAUCCUCGUUCAGCUCAAGGUGAGGUGCUGGUUACGUUACUUAUUUCUGGUUAGGUUUUAGUGUUGGUAUUCCAGUUGGAAUAUCAUUCAUCACUAAUGACUUUACACUAUUGGGUCAUCUGGCAGUACGAGUAGGAUUGGCAUUUGCGUAACCUCAUCACUAACGAGGGUACCCUAUUGGGUCAUCUGGCAGUACGAUCAGGAUUGGCAUUUGCGUAACCUCAUCACUAAUGUGUUUACACUAUCGAGUACUGGCAGUACCCGAUUUCCACCGGUAACCAUCUGGCAAAUUUGUCUUGUGCUUUAGGUAAGACAUAAUUCUAAAACAUACCAUUAGUUUCUGAAUUGUUGUGCGUUUAUCUCCAAAUUUUACCUACGACUUGGCUAACUGCGCUGUACUUAAGUCAACUGACUCUCACUGCGUACCGAACUCCAUUCUUGCGCGCACAUUUUUGAGUCGCGAAUAAGAUCGGAGACAAUUUGGCAUUUUCAUACUACGGAGUUCGAUCGUCCCAGCAGCUGAAUGUGGCAAAGUAUAAUUUUAUUAUUAAAUUAACUAUUGAUACUGCUAGUGAGGUAAAUAUCUGGGCUGUAAGUUUCAGUUAAACUCUACCAAAAUGCAUGGAAUUACUUUUUUAUUAUUUUUUUGUGGUGAAUAGUUAGGUAACCUUAUGAAAUUAAUCAGCAGCUAAAAUCAUGGAACCAUGUCCCACAUGCUUAUACAGUAAUAUGGACUAGAUAACUGUACAGAGCUGAACUUGUAACUGUAUUUUGUGUCCCCAGGUGUCUGCCUCCACACCUCCCUGCUUUCACCACUGGUCUAAGAAGUCCAUAACGGUUAGUGUGGGAGGCGCAGCUCCAGUACUUGCUUUCUUGAACCUGUGUGAUGCACAAGAUGUUGAUCCAACCGCACAGUGAGCUCUGCAGGGUGGUCAGGACGGCUGGAGACGUGGAGGACGGGGCGGGGAGCCAGGCUCACCAGUGACGUCCUGGGCGAGGCGUGGGGCGCCAGGAGGGACCGAGGCGGACCACCAAGCUGCUCUGAAACGCCCAAGGCCAGGCA